rnacentral:rRNA from 1 species
UACAGAGGGUGCGAGCGUUAAUCGGAAUUACUGGGCGUAAAGCGUGCGUAGACGGUUAUUUAAGUCGGGUGUGAAAGCCCCGGGCUCAACCUGGGAAUUGCAUUCGAGACUGAAUAGCUAGGGUACGGUAGAGGGAAGCGGAAUUUCCGGUGUAGCGGUGAAAUGCGUAGAUAUCUGAAGGAACAUCAGUGGCGAAAGCGGCUUCCUGGACCAGUACCGACGUCAGGCACGAAAGCGUGGGGAGCAAACAGG